rnacentral:rRNA from 1 species
AUUGAACGCUGGCGGAAUGCUUUACACAUGCAAGUCGAACGGCAGCACGGGGGCAACCCUGGUGGCGAGUGGCGAACGGGUGAGUAAUACAUCGGAACGUGCCCAGUCGUGGGGGAUAACGUAGCGAAAGUUACGCUAAUACCGCAUACGAUCUACGGAUGAAAGCGGGGGACCGUAAGGCCUCGCGCGGUUGGAGCGGCCGAUGUCAGAUUAGGUAGUUGGUGAGGUAAAGGCUCACCAAGCCGACGAUCUGUAGCUGGUCUGAGAGGACGACGAGCCAGACUGGAACUGGGACACGGCGCAGACUCCUACGGGAGGCAGCAGUGGGGAAUUGUGGACAAUGGGCGCAAGCCUGAUCCAGCCAUGCCGCGUGCAGGACGAAGGCCUUCGGGUUGUAAACUGCUUUUGUACGGAACGAAAAGGCUCUGGUUAAUACCUGGGGCUCAUGACGGUACCGUAAGAAUAAGCACCGGCUAACUACGUGCCAGCAGCCGCCGUAA